rnacentral:rRNA from 1 species
AAAAUACGGGAGGCAGCAGUGGGGAAUUUUGGACAAUGGGCGCAAGCCUGAUCCAGCCAUGCCGCGUGUCUGAAGAAGGCCUUCGGGUUGUAAAGGACUUUUGUCAGGGAAGAAAAGGCUGUUGCUAAUAUCGACAGCUGAUGACGGUACCUGAAGAAUAAGCACCGGCUAACUACGUGCCAGCAGCCGCGGUAAUUUUU